CUCAGUUGCCAAUGAUCUGAACCAUUUUGUUCAGCAUUUUGCAGUGACAGCUCUCUGCAGUGAGC
rnacentral:lncRNA from 1 species